rnacentral:rRNA from 1 species
GAGCGCCGUAGCAAUACGGAGCGGCAGACGGGAGAGUAACACGUGGGAACGUGCCCUUCAGUUCGGAACAACCCAGGGAAACUUGGGCUAAUACCGGAUACGUCCGUAAGGAGAAAGAUUUAUCGCCGAAGGAUUGGCCCGCGUCCGAUUAGCUAGUUGGUGAGGUAACGGCUCACCAAGGCGACGAUCGGUAGCUGGUCUGAGAGGAUGAUCAGCCUCACUGGGACUGAGACACGGCCCAGACUCCUACGGGAGGCAGCAGUGGGGAAUAUUGGACAAUGGGCGCAAGCCUGAUCCAGCCAUGCCGCGUGGGUGAUGAAGGCCCUAGGGUUGUAAAGCCCUUUCGGCGGGGAAGAUAAUGACGGUACCCGCAGAAGAAGCCCCGGCUAACUUCGUG